rnacentral:rRNA from 1 species
CCGCUAUUGGAGUUCGAUUAAGCCAUGCGAGUCGAGAGUCUUAGGGACUCGGCGUACCGCUCAGUAACACGUGGGUAACCUGCCCUAUGCUGGGGAAUAACCUCGGGAAACUGAGAAUAAUGCCCCAUAGUCCACAAUGCCUGGAACGGUUUGUGGAUCAAAGCUCCGGCGGCAUAGGAUGGGCCUGCGGCGUAUCAGGUUGUAGGGGGUGUAACGCACCCUCUAGCCAUCAACGCGUACGGGUGUUGGGAGACAUAGCCCGGAGAUGGAUUCUGAGACACGAAUCCAGACCCUACGGGGUGCAGCAGGCGCGAAAACUUGGCAAUGCGAGAAAUCGUGACCAGGGAACUCCAAGUGGCUGGGGUAAGACCCAGUCUUUUCUUGACUCUUCAAAGGUCUUGGAAUAAGGGGUGGGUAAGGACGGUGCCAGCCGCCGCGGUAAUACCGGCGCCUCAAGUGGUAGUCGAUUUUAUUGGGCCUAAAACGUCCGUAGCCUGUUUGGUACAUUCGUGGGUAAAUCAACCAGCUCAACUGGUUGAAUUCUGCGAGCACGGCCAGACUUGGGACCGGGAGAGGUGUGGGGUACGCUCAGGGUAGGGGUAAAAUCCUGUCAUCCUGAGCGGACCACCUGUUGCGAAGGCGCCACACUAGAACGGAUCCGACGGUCAGGGACGAAGCCCAGGGGCACGAACCGGAUUAGAUACCCGGGUAGUCCUAGGUGUAAACGCUGUGGACUUGGUGUUGGGGACUCUCCGAGAAUCCUCAGUGCCGAAGCGAAGGUGAUAAGUCCACUGCCUGGGGAGUAUGGUCGCAAGGCUGAAACUUAAAGGAAUUGGCGGGGGAGCACCGCAACCUGAGGAUUGUGCGG